GCCCCUUUAGCUCAAUUGGUAGAGCAACGGUAUCGUAAACCGUAGGUUGUCAGUUCAAUUCUGAUGAGGGGCU
rnacentral:tRNA from 5 species